ACCGGGAUUCCCCGAGUAAGGGCGACUGAAACGGGACCUAGCCCAGCGCAUAACCUCGCGGUUCGUGCAGAGCCGACGAGGGGUGUUGCGUAUCGGUGGAUCCGUCCCGCCCGUGCCCUACCGCCUAAGUCCAAGUAGGAAUACAGCCCCGCGGAGGGUGAGAGGCCCGUGUGGCGGCGCCCGCAAGGGCUACUAGGGCGCGGGCGGAGGGAUCGCUUCACCGGAGAGUCGGGUUGCUUAAUACUGCAGCCCUAAGAGAGGUGGUAAACUCCAUCUAAGGCUAAAUACAACCACGAGUCCGAUAGGAGACAAGUACCGUGAGGGAAAGUUGAAAAGGACUUUGAAGAGAGAGUUCAACAGUACGUGAAGCCGUUAGAAGCCUAAACGGGUGGAACCGCGAAGGUCGAACGAGGGCACUCACCUCGUCGGGCGGGCGGGACCCGGGGCGCUCCGACAGGCCGGCGCCGAAAGUAAGAAAUGAGUUGGAGCGCAGGAGCGCCCUGUCCGUCGCGUCCCGCUCCGGCGGGCGUACUUGUCCCUCCAGUAGGAGACGCCGCGAGCCGUGGCGGGGACCAAGAGGCCCACGCAGCCCGGAUUGGUACCCUCGGUCCGGAGGGGAAACCGCGGCUGGGAGUUAGAUGGUGGCCCUGCCACGGCCUGGCCCAGGGCGGCCGCUCUGCCUUCUGGGCGGCGGCGGCCGG
rnacentral:rRNA from 1 species